AGCGAAAAUGCGAUACUUGGUGUGAAUUGCAGAAUUCCCGUGAACCAUCGAGUCUUUGAACGCAAGUUGCGGCCCGAAGCCAUUAGGCCGAGGGCACGCCUGCCUGGGUGUCACA
rnacentral:rRNA from 1 species